GUCUGGCUGUGUCCACCGCAAUUAAUCCAUAGACAUUCCAGUCUAUAAUCGGCAGAAGUAUAAAAAAAACGAAAGAGGAGUACUAGAAUUCAUUGGCAGUACUCUAUCAUCACUAUACAGCACGGACCUGGAGCACUCUACACCAUUUUCCCGAAGCAAUGAGGCCACGAAGACAAAUCUUUUUAUUACUUCCGGAUGUCAACCAAUUCAUCUGAUGAACUGGUGUACCUAAAGGACCAUUAUCAACGCCAAGAUACAAUUAUGAGGGAAAGUGCUCAACCGAUUCAGAUGUUGUCCAUAAUUCUAAGGUAUACUUACACUUUCUCAAAUUUGCAUUACACCUAAUCCCUCGGGAUUUAGACCAUAAGAAAGAUCGCCAGAGAGGAUCAUUG